GCCCCGGUGGUGUAGUCCGGUAAUCUUGCGUUCGCAAAAGCUAAACCAAAGGAAGAGAACACAAGGUUGGGCAACCAAUCAUGCGGCCCUUUCGACAGCUUAUUAGCGAAAGAAAGGCCGCGACACGGGUUCAAAUCCCGUCCGGGGCA
rnacentral:tRNA from 1 species